AUCUCGGGUCAAUACUAGAGGUGUGACCAUGUUGUUAAAUCGCGGGGUUUGUAUUGAUCGAUGCUUCUAAAAGAGUGUUGAUCGUUGCUUGCCUACGAGUAGUGUCAAUCGGCAGAAUAGUUGUGUCGAUCGAUGAUGCUCGCUUUUCUUUGCGGAUUGUACGCUUGAGUCUAGUAGGAUCUGAUGGUGGUAAGAGAUCUUUUUCCUUACUGCUUCUUGUGUUGUUGAGCAUGCACCUGAAAGACACAAGAGAAUCAAUUUUUAAUUAGUAAAAAAGAAAGAAAAUAAACUAAAAAUAACAGCUACAAGGAAAAAAAAUAAAUCUAAUGGUGAAUCCAAUGCAAGCUCAAAUUAACCCUAGAGCUAAUUCUCUCAAAUAAGACAUCGAAUGUAUCACUUGGAGAUCUGAUUCACAGGGUGCGGAGGCACACAAUAGACCAAAUGAAUAGUAAGAUCAAGCUAGGAAAAUGAUUGUUAAGAGAGAAAAUAUUAAUAAGUAAUAAAUAAGCUAGUGUGUUCACAAACUUUCAGGUUAUGUAAUCCAAAUUAUAAUAUAAUUUCUAAGUGCAUAUGAUAAUCAAUCCUAAAACUCAAAUUCUAAUGUAAGAUAUCCAGCUCUCGCUGCUAGUCUACGAGUUGGAAUUCUAUGUCUACGCUCUCGCGUUCACACGAAACCGGUAUCGAUCGAUGCACCUAUAGGGUGUCGAUCAAUACUUUUCCAAAC
rnacentral:lncRNA from 1 species